rnacentral:lncRNA from 1 species
UGUAAGUGAAUCCUCUGGUUUUGUAGGAGGGUAAUUCCCAGUUCAGUAAAGGAAUGAUUUGAUUUCUGAUUACUAAUGUUCUCUCUCCGCGUUCUUUUUUUGCAGAUCGCCCUAAAAAAUGGUUAUCCACAAGAUUGGGGUCUUGUUGAGUACAGUAAUGCUGAAGAGGCCGAAGUAGCUCAAGUCUCUCUGAAUGGAUACGUUUUAAGAGGCCAGGCAAUUAGGAUUAGUUACUAUAUACCAGGAGUGCAUGCGAUUAAUUUGUACUUAAAACUUCUCAAUGAUACGUCAUCAAAAGGCAAAGGUGCUGGACUGUUACCAGAGCCAUCCUGUCAGACGAUUGUACAGUCUCUGCAAAAUAUUUCAAAACAAAAUCCAAUCUUCGCUCAAAACCUCCAAAGUAUUAUUCUAUCUCAAAUCCAAGCAACCCAGAAUGGAGGGUCAGAAUCUGAAACUGUCAAGAAACCGACAGUGCCCACUGCAGGAACCAAUGGAACCGUUAAUCCAGCCAAAGGUGGUCCUCAGCGUAAUGGAACCAAUUCAACUAAUCCUAACAGGUUCACUCCAACUAACGGUGUUGACUCAAAUAAGACGCCUACACCAUCAUUACCCUCAGUUCCUCGAAAAACGGCUCCACUCUUCCGCAGAAUAUUUCCUAUCUAAAACCUAAUCAGAAAAUUGGAUUAGCAUCUAAUCCAACACCACCGAACGGCCCCAGCAGUGUUGUGAGCGUAAGUCCGCCAGUCGGUGAAAUCGCUCCUCACACAUUAUCUGUCACAACAACAACUGAUGCCGAGAGCCAGGUUAAUCUUUGGAAUGGCUUAUUGCGUCAGAUGCCACCCCACACAGCGAGUUUCCCUCCGCCACCUUUGGUGCAAGAUGCACCAAGAGCAGCGUAUCCAAUGGCUCCUCCGCAAUCAAGUUUCGUACCAGAUCUUGCCGCUAAUCUGCCCCUAGAGGUUCAACAGAACCUCAUGAAUGUGAUAACCAACCCCCAGUCCCUGAACCAACUUUUGACAUCUCUACGAAGUAUGGGUCAGAGCUAUCCCGGGACACCUCCCCCACCUACAGUUCCUUUCCAAUUCUCCUCGUCAGAUACGACGUGGUCAGCUCCUCAAACUCUACAACCCCAAACUCUUCUACCUACUUCUAUUUCUGUCCCUGUGGCUCACAGUCAAAGCCUCUUUCCCUCAUGGGGAGCCUCCCCUACCUUCUUAUCCUCACCAAGCCCUCAAUCUUUAUUCUCCCCUUUGGAGCCCCCGGUUUAAUCUGGUCUCAGCCAGCGACGGUCCUUGCAUCACCCCCACCACCUCAGCUGUCCACGCCAAUCGGUCAGAAGAGGCGUUUUCUACCGUCGCCUGAACCGAGUCCUGAAGGUAACUACAUUGGUCAGCACUCACAGGGCAUUGGUGGACACUACGCGGACUCUUACUUUAGAGGAAGAAGAAGAACUGAGGCGGAAGCUACUUACUUUUUACCUCAUUGUGAUUUGUGCAUAGUGAUCUCCUAACUUAUUUUUCCUACGGAAAAACAUUUCGAUCUGUCAUCAGAAUGAAGAUCAGUGCUGUACAGUAGUCUUAAUCACCCGUACUAAAUAUUGUAUAAACUGUGUGCAAAAGAGCGCCUUUUGCAAAAAUUCACAUUUUGAUCAAUAAUGUGGUACAAUUCUGGAAUCAAACACAAACCAGAUUUCUCUUCAUUGUUAUUUAUCUUGAGUAUGAAUCGAGCGUUUAUAAAAAUGUACACCAAAGUAUUUCAGCAAAAGUCGCUUGCUGGAAACUCUUCCUCACUCAUUUGUGUCUUCAAUAUCCGUGUAGCCUUUUCUUAGUACAAAUCAGCGUAAAAUUGUUAUAAGCGUUUCUUCUGACUUUGUAAAUUCUUUAAUAACUGAGGCAUACAUUUUUAAAGUCACAAUUUCCUAGAAAAUCUAAUUUAACUCAUCACAAAUUUACAUUUUUUAUAAUUUCAUCUUGUAGAGAGUGGUCGAAGAAAGCAGGCCACUUAUCUCUAUGUUCUUGAGCAUUGCUGCAAUGACUAAAUCAUUUGCAGUAAUUGUGAAGAAUGUCUUCUCAUCCUGAAUUUUGCAAUCGUUAAUUGAACUCAGUACGUAUGUAGAACGUUUUUUUGUAUGUUCAAGAACGAAUGGAAGAGGAAUGAGUGGUAUUUUACUAUGUCUCAUUUCAACUCAUUGAUUAGCUCUACCGUUCUUCAUUAACCCAACGUGUAAAGAUCUUUAUCAAUGUAGUUUUCCUAAAAUCUUUUGUAAAAUAUCAUUUGAAUCAACGCUGCCCUUAUUUUGUGGCUCACUGACUGAGUUUAAUUGUGAUACUGUAGCUCUGCUCCUCAACGUUAGUUCUUCAAUUGACUCAUAAAUUUAAGUUUUUAAUUUUCAGUUGACGAAUGAAUUGAACAUAGUUCCUUUUUGUUUUUAGGAAUUCUAUUUUAGCUGUAAAUUUAUUUUGUCCUUUUACGGAAGACUUAUAAGUCUGUUAGAUUAUUGUUUCUUUUCAACGCUGUCCUUUUUAAUUUUCUCUCUUAUAUAUUUCUGUCUUUUAUUUUUAUUUUUUUUUUUUUUUUUUUAAAAAAAAAAAAUCAAUGGCCUCUUACCAAACACUUGGUUUUACAAGUGGGUAUCGUCCCUUUUUUAUUAUCUUUAUGAAUGCUUUAUCACAAUCUAUUGUAGGCACUAUUUUUUUAUUAUCAUUUUUUUCUUUUUGAUGUGAAGAAAUAUCAAUUUUGUUCUGAAAAUCCUUAGACUUGUUAGCUAUUUUUGUUACUUUAGAUUUGUUAAAAAAAUUUCCUCGGUAAAACUCAAAAUUUUCUCGCUUUAUUUUUAUUUAUUCAUUUUUUUUUCGUGUACAGUAGCUCCUUUACUAAGGAUUUUGUUGAUCAUACAGGCACAUUGUAACAGUUAUCCCCAAGUUUCCUUUCGGUUCAAUGUAACUUCUUAAAUCUCACAUUAAAACAAGAAUCGUAUAUAUUUCAUUUUAAACCAGACAUUUAUCAUCACGCUUUGUAAAUUAGAGUUCAAAUACUUAAACUCACUAUGUCCUUGCUUUAAUGUAACUACUAUAAAAAAAAACCAUUUCAUUCAGUAACGAAAGUUGAAUGAACAACCUCCCGGAUAUUUUUGAGAUUUUUUUGCUCGGGCAUUUUGCGUUAUGUUAAAUAAAAAAUAUGCUAACUUACUGUGUUGAAGAACCAGGGUAAUUUUUCCUACCCUAAAUCAAGCUCAACUAAUCAGAAAGCCAGCUUUUAGCAUUGCAUUAAUUUCCCACCUGCCUUAUUUAUAACAGACAACAUUUAAUGGGUACUUAAUAGUCAUUUUCCCUAUUUUAUCUCCAUUGUAGUAGGAAAUAUCUAGGUGAAAUAUUUUAUGGACUGAAUAUAUCGUAAAGCCUCAGAAUCUCAGUGUCUAUUAUCGAUAUGUUAUUUCAGUAGGAACCCUUAUUUUAUUUAAUUUAUUUCUAGUGCGUUAAUGCCGUUUAAUCAAGCUCUCCAUCUCACCUUUUUAGCGGAGCAGCAGCAUUUUAGCUGUCUUAAUACCGGAAACGAAAUUUUUUUAUUUUAAUUUGCUCUAUUUUGGUGUAUCUAUCUCAUCAUUGUUUGACUUUUUUCGGGCUUCGUUUGGCACAACGUAGAUUGUACAAAGUUUGGAACUCAAGUUGAAAAAGAGCUUAUUUUUAAAAUCAGCUUUGCACAGUCUUAUGAAACAAAUAAUCGGUAUGUAGUAAAUUCCCAUGAGCUCUGGUUCCUUUUUGCAAAGUGCUGUCUAAUUUUUUAAUUGUUGAUAAUGAAGCUUGCUGUCAAUGUUUUAUAAGUGUGACCCUUAACUGCUGUUAUGAUUUGUAUUCAUCUCCGCUGAAUUCUUAUUCAUGUAUGAUGAAAGAUGUGUUUUGCAGUUACGUAUUGUCACAGCCCUUUCAGUCAAAGUUAAAAAACUAAAUUCUGUCUGACUCGCUUUUACAGUGGAAGCCAAAUUAUUUGCUCAAUGAAUUUCCAUAAUACUCUAUCUCCAAAUAGUUACCAUAAAGGGAAAAAGCUUAAAGGAACUCCUUGUUUCACUCUGAAGAGCUUGCAAUAGUAUCAAUUUAUCAUCACAUAGCAAAUCCAAAGUUCACUUUUGAAAGAGCUCACCACUUCAUUAAAUUUAAACUUUUAUUAAAAAAAAAACCUCUAAACUUUUCUCUUUUAAGACACCCAUGGUUUUUUAAAAAGCUGCCAAUAGAUUUAUGCAGUGUAGACAGCAAUUACUUUCUCUUUUUUUUUUUUUAAAAGUAAAUUUUAUUUCGGUGCUUACUGUAUUAGACCUGUGAAAUUUUAAAAAUUUUUUUGGCUUGCGUAUUAAAAAAUAUUUUUUUUGCUUGCAUCUCUUAAGUGACACAAUUAUUCAUCCCAUCAUUCAACUAUGAAGAGGGCCUUUUGUCCUUCCUCAAAAACUCAUAACAAUUAUGAUGAAAAAGAGGGGAAAAAAACCCCAAGUCCAUACCAUUUGCGAGUAUCUUGCAAAAUUUAAAAAUUUUUUUAUUCUCAUUAAAGUUUUCCCUAAUUUUGAAAAUGAUCUUGCAACAUUAUUGGUACCUAUAUAAAAAAGUAAAACCGAGACAAUGCCACCAAAAAUUUUAAAAAUUUUAUUUUUGUUAGCCCUUUCCCCAAUUUAUGUAUUUUUUUAAAAAAUUUAAAAUUUUAAAUUAGAGAUUCCCAUUGUUGAAAAAUUCGAUUUUUUUUUUAAAAAAGCUGGUAUUAGACUUAAGCUUUACUUAAAUUACCAAAAAAGUUGUUAGCCUCGUGUAUUCUCCCUUUAUUGAUUUAAGAACUUAAAGUGACUUGCAAGCAACCUUUAAAAAAAGACAUGACCUGUAAACCCCUUUUAAUUUUAAUAAUUAUCCCCAAAAAAAAAAUUUUUUUUUUCC